GAUGAACGCUGGCGGCGUGCCUAAUACAUGCAAGUCGAGCGAACGGACGAGAAGCUUGCUUUUCUGAUGUUAGCGGCGGACGGGUGAGUAACACGUGGAUAACCUACCUAUAAGACUGGGAUAACUUCGGGAAACCGGAGCUAAUACCGGAUAAUAUUUUGAACCGCAUGGUUCAAAAGUGAAAGACGGUCUUGCUGUCACUUAUAGAUGAAUCCGCGCUGCAUUAGCUAGUUGGUAAGGUAACGGCUUACCAAGGCAACGAUGCAUAGCCGACCUGAGAGGGUGAUCGGCCACACUGGAACUGAGACACGGUCCAGACUCCUACGGGAGGCAGCAGUAGGGAAUCUUCCGCAAUGGGCGGAAGCCUGACGGAGCAACGCCGCGUGAGUGAUGAAGGUCUUCGGAUCGUAAAACUCUGUUAUUAGGGAAGAACAUAUGUGUAAGUAACUGUGCACAUCUUGACGGUACCUAAUCAGAAAGCCACGGCUAACUACGUG
rnacentral:rRNA from 1 species